rnacentral:rRNA from 1 species
AUUGAACGCUGGCGGCAUGCUUUACACAUGCAAGUCGAACGGUAACAGGCCUUCGGGCGCUGACGAGUGGCGAACGGGUGAGUAAUGCAUCGGAACGUGCCCAGUCGUGGGGGAUAACGCAGCGAAAGCCGUGCUAAUACCGCAUACGAUCUGCGGAUGAAAGCGGGGGACUUUCGGGCCUCGCGCGAUUGGAGCGGCCGAUGUCAGAUUAGGUAGUUGGUGGGGUAAAGGCGCACCAAGCCAACGAUCUGUAGCUGGUCUGAGAGGACGACCAGCCACACUGGGAAUGAGACACGGCCCAGACUCCUACGGGAGGCAGCAGUGGGGAAUUUUGGACAAUGGGCGCAAGCCUGAUCCAGCAAUGCCGCGUGCAGGAAGAAGGCCUUCGGGUUGUAAACUGCUUUUGUACGGAACGAAACGGCUCUGGUUAAUACCUGGGGCUAAUGACGGUACCGUAAGAAUAAGCACCGGCUAACUACGUGCCAGCAGCCGCGGUAACAC